rnacentral:rRNA from 1 species
GAUGAACGCUGGCGGCGUGCCUAAUACAUGCAAGUCGAGCGAACGGACGCGAAGCUUGCUUCUCUGAUGUUAGCGGCGGACGGGUGAGUAACACGUGGAUAACCUACCUAUAAGACUGGGAUAACUUCGGGAAACCGUAGCUAAUACCGGAUAAUAUUUUGAACCGCAUGGUUCAAAAGUGAAAGACGGUCUUGCUGUCACUUCUAGAUGGAUCCGCGCUGCAUUAGGUAGUUGGUAAGGUAACGGCUUACCAAGGCAACGAUGCAUGGCCGACCUGAGAGAGUGAUCGGCGACACUGGAACUGAGACACGGUCCAGACUCCUACGGGAGGCAGCAGUAGGGAAUCUUCCGCAAUGGGCGAAAGCCUGACGGAGCAGCGCCGCGUGAGUGAUGAAGGUCUUCGGAGCGUAAAACUCUGUUAUUAGGGAAGAACAUAUGUGUAAGUAACUGUGCACAUCUUGACGGUACCUAAUCAGAAAGCCACGGCUAACUACGUG